GCUGGGCGUGGUGGUGCUUGCCUGUAGUCCCAGCUACUUGGGAGGCUGAGGUGGGAGAAUCGCUUGAGCCCAGGAGAUUGAGGCUGCAGUGAACCAUGAUGGUGCCACUACACUCUAGCCUGGGCAACAGCGUGAAACCCUGUCUCAA
ensembl:misc_RNA Metazoa_SRP Metazoan signal recognition particle RNA